UAUGUGAUCGUCUCUCGCAUAUCAAUAAGCGGAGGAAAAGAAACUAACAAGGAUUCCCCUAGUAACGGCGAGUGAUGCGGGAAGAGCUCAAAUUUGAAAUCUUAAAGGGUUUCCCUUUACGAAUUGUAGUUUAAAGAAGUGUUUUCUGUUGAGGUUUUGGUAAAAGUUCUUUGGAAUAGGACAUCAUAGAGGGUGAGGAAUCCCGUAUUUGACCUUUACUUUCAACUUUGUGAUACACUUUCAAAGAGUCGGAUUGUUUGGGAAUGCAGUCCAAAAUGGGUGGUAAAUUUCAUCUAAAGCUAAAUAUUGGCGAGAGACCGAUAGCGAACAAGUACCGUGAGGGAAAGAUGAAAAGAACUUUGAAAAGAGAGUUAAACAGUACGUGAAAUUGUCAAAAGGGAAGCGUAUGACACCAUGUGUUGUUUUUCUGAAAAUCAAUUAAAGAACUGUUUAUGCUAAGUUGUUUAGACUUUAUCAGCUAACUGUUUAGUUUUGAGCUUUUCUUUAAUGCACUUUUCAGUUAACAAGUCAACAUCAAUCUCUUUUGCUGUAAAAAAGCUUGAGGAAGGUGGCUUGAGAUUCGUCUUAAGUGUUUAUAGCCUCUUGCCUAUGCAGUCGGAGAGAUUGAGGUCUGCAGCGUAGAUCCUUCGGGGCUAAAUGCAUUUGUGCUAAGUUAUAGCAUUUUAUAGACAACUUGUUGACUAUGAUUUGUCUUGUAGCUUACUCGCUUAUGUUAUUUUACCUACGCUUAGGAUGUUGACACACGCACGUGCUCG
rnacentral:rRNA from 1 species